rnacentral:hammerhead_ribozyme from 1 species
AUCUAGUUGACGAGUCCCAAAAAGGACGAAAUGCGCAUCUUGGAU